rnacentral:piRNA from 1 species
UUGGAAACAAAAAGAUAAAGCAACAGGGUGU